GAUCAUGGCUCAGGAUAAACGCUGGCGGCGCACAUAAGACAUGCAAGUCGAACGGAAGUCGUUGUAAUGAAAUAGAAACGGACAGAGAACUUGUUCGGAGAAAGUGGAAGUAGACUUACAACAAUGGCUUUAGUGGCGGACUGGUGAGUAACGCGUAAGGAACCUGCCUUCCAGAGGGGAAUAACAAUGAGAAAUCAUUGCUAAUACCGCAUAUGCCGAGAGAAUCACAUGGUACAAUCGGG
rnacentral:rRNA from 1 species